AGCCUCCCGAGUAGCCGGGACUACAGGAGCCUGCCACCACGCCCAGCUAAUUUUUUUGUAUUUUUAGUAGAGACGAGGUUUCACCGUAUUAGCCAGGAUGGUCUUGAUCUCCUGACCUCGUGAUCCGCCCGCCUCGGCCUCCCAAAGUGCUGGGAUUACAGGCGUGAGCCACCGCGCCCGGCUGGAACUUUUCUUAAACACUGCUAAGAACGUUCAUCUCCCAGAGAUUCUAAGAGAUGAACAAACCGUGUGGAUGCCCUCAAGAUGUGUACAACUAUAGAACAGGAGAUGGGUACGACCAUAGAACAGGAGAUGGGAGGGUCCAACCAUGGACCGGGUUCCGCCAGUAUGAGCCAUGAGCCAGUUGAAUCUGAAUGCAAAGAACAAGGACCGACUGGAGUCACAAUGCUUAACGGACCAAUGCUUUCUGACUCAGCUCCUCUCUACCCUGAAUAAAGAGACCCUAAUAGUUAGGCAGGAGUAUCAUCACCCCUGUUCAGCAUGAAGAAGUUACAGAAGAUGGACGUUCAUCCUUCUGCAACCCCUAGGAUUAAGGGUCCUCUUGUAAAAGGGAAAGGGGAGGUAUGUGGGAAGCAUUCAAACCAGAGUGACUCCAGUUUGAAAAAGGGCUAAGAAAAAUGAAGCUGGAUCACCAACUGGCAAUUAAGGAGUGCACAGCCUACAAUUGCCUUGCUCAGUUAAAAAAGGCCACCUUUUAUGCUAGUAAUAAUGAUAGCAAUAGUGAUACCUUCUCUUUUACAAAGAAGAGAAGGGGGACAUGUUGGGAAAAAGCUGAGUAUUGGGAAGAAAGCUGAGGCAGUGCUUGCAUGUCUGACAUAAUGUCCUCUGGAAUGUGUCUAGACUUGCUGGCUUCUUGCUUCUAGCCCUCCUAGGCUCCUAAAUAGAUUGUAUUCCCAUCAUCUCAAGUACCAGAACAUGUUCCUUAUAAAUGCUAAACCAUCACAGCUAUAGAUCAGGCACCUGCCCUUUUGACCGCCACAUUCUCACCACCUGUUUCUUUGUUGGAUUACCAAUAAAUAGUGUGGGCUCCCAGAGCUUGGGGCCUUUGCAGCCUCCCCAAUCGCGAUGGCCCCUGGUUCCACUUUACUUCUCAAACUGUCUUUUUCUCAACCCUUUGACUCUGCCAGACUUCGUCACCCCCACGACCUGGUGUUGGGUCUGAUCACCCCAACGACCUAUAUUUUGUGCUACCCUCUUAUCUCAUUCUGUGACUAAGAAUGCCUAACCUCCUGGGAAGGCAGCCCAGUAGGUCUGAGCCUUAUUUUUCUCAGUCCUUAUUCAAGAUGGAGUUGCUCUGGUUCGAAUGCCUCUGACACUUAGAGCUUUGUUGUUGAAAACUGAAUUAUAUACUGUACUUUUUCUUUUCUCUUAUUGAAAAAUCAUCCUACUUUGUUGAUUAUUUUCUGUAACGUCUUGAGGUAAUUUAAAAUUCCACCUGUCUCCAUCAGAGAGACAGGGACUCUUGUCCUUUUUAUUCACUGCUAUACCAUGGGUGUCUAGAAUAUUGCCUGCACAUGGUAGGUGCUUAAAUAAUAUUUUGAAUAAGUUAAUACUAUGAAGCAUUGGUAAAUUCACUCAAUUUUAAUGAAUGAAUUAAAUAUCUUCAAAUUUAAUGACAAUUGUCUUUAUUCAGAUUUCUGAACAAUAUAUUCAGAGAAAUAACUUUAGAGAAAAAGACAAGUGAAGAAAAAGAAUAAGAAGAAAAGCAAUGGAUAAACAGGAAAAGAGAAUAAAAAGGAAAAAUUUUAAACUCCUAUUAACUCCCCCAGAAAUAUUGAUUUUAUUGCUUAUUGUUUAAUAGGUGAACCAUCUGACUCUGCAUAUGCCUUGUGGUGAAAAUGUUUGGGACAUAGGAAUGAGACAUUUUUUGCAUAUACGUCAUAGUGGGCAUUGGCAUACCUGUGGCCUCUCAGAAUCUUUUGAACACUCUUUCUAAAUGUUGGUAACUUCCUAUACUGCAAAUGCUAGCUCUGUAAGUGGGAUGCUAUAAAUCUCACCUUCCCAGUCUCUCUCAUCUCAGAACCCAGCAUGUCCACUGGAUCUUGACUUAGCAGAAUUCAAGUAAGAUUUGACCCCAAAGGAAAACACUGCGAAAAAAGAUUUUGCAGCGUCUGUCAAGGGUGCAGAGUCUGAUCAAGAGGUACAAAACUCUCAGCAGCAUCAGAAGCAAAAUGUCCUGGUGGUAUAGUCUGUGUUCGCUGUUCGCAGAGGCUCUGUGGACAGUCUCAUGGUGGCUUUAGGGAGUGCAGGAUUGUCCCUAUGAUUUUUUGUUAAAACUUGCUAAAGUUGCCAGGCACGGUGGCUAAUGCCUGUAAUCCCAGCACUUUGGGAGGCCGAGAAGGGUGGAUCGCCUGAGGUCAGGCGUUCGAGACCAGCCUGGCCAACAUGGCUAAACCCCGUCUCUACUAAAAAUACAAAAAAUAGCCAGGCAUAGUGGUACGUGCCUGUAAUCCUAGCUACUUGGGAGGCUGAGGCAGGAGAAUCACUUGAACCCAGGAGGUGGAGGUUACAGUGAGCCGAGAUCAUGCCGUUACACUCCAGCCUGGGCAACAGAGCCAGACUCCAUCUCAAAAAAAUAAAAUAAAAACUUGCUACAGUUGUUUGGUUCUGUUGUUUGUAACCAAAAGCCCUAACUGAGAUAACCAUUCACAGUGUAAGUUCACACUGAUGGUUUUUAAUGUUUUGUAAAUCCAGCCCAUUUAAUAUAUGUGGAUUCCUCAAGGCAGAGGCUAGCCAGUGCUGGCACAUCACUGGAUACACAGGAAUUACAAUAUAGAUACAUUUGUUCUUUCUCCUUUCUAUUCAUCUACAGGUCUACAUGAUUGCAUUUCCAUAACUAAUGAAUGCAUAGCCCUAACAUAAAAUACAAAGUGCUACAUAUGCACAAAAUAAAAAUAUAUACAGAACCUGA
rnacentral:lncRNA from 1 species